UACAGAGGUGGCAAGCGUUGUUCGGAAUUACUGGGCGUAAAGGGCGCGUAGGCGGCUUUUUAAGUCAGACGUGAAAUCCCCCGGCUUAACCUGGGAACUGCGUCUGAUACUGGGAAGCUUGAGUUCGGGAGAGGGAUGUAGAAUUCCAGGUGUAGCGGUGAAAUGCGUAGAUAUCUGGAGGAAUACCGGUGGCGAAGGCGGCAUCCUGGACCGAAACUGACGCUGAGGCGCGAAAGCCAGGGGAGCAAACGGG
rnacentral:rRNA from 1 species